GACCCCCUGGAGCUGCUGGUCUCAGGAACAGCUGACACCGUGAGCCCACCCCAAAACAAUUCAGACCCCAGCAGUGCCUCAGAUCGCAGGGAUUACACGGUGGAGAAUCUGAUCCGAAUGGGCGUGGCUGCCUUGAUCCUGGUGGUCCUCGGGAUUCUGCUACUAGAGGCUCAGCACAGCCAGACAAGGACCCCAGGUGCAGCCAGGAGCUAAACACAAGGGGGAGCCAACCCACCAUUCCCUGUGGCAGACCUUUGGACAUCAAUCUAAUCCGCCCAAGGGGGUCUGGAAGAAAGCCUGCAACUCAUGCUGGCUGAUCUGCCUGCUGAGAACAUCCAGGGGAAACAUGGUUUAGAUGCCAGGAAAUGUCUGGGCUGUUCUCAGUCCAGGACUCGUCCCCCAUGAACUGUGGUGCUUUCCCUCCUGCCAUUGUUGGACAUCCUUGACUGCCCCCGUCUUUCCUCAUCCCUGUGACUUGAGGGUUCGUCCCACACGGCAGGGUUGAGUUCAUACCUUCCUACAGCAGCAGCUCUGGUCCACUUUCAUGGGAUACAUUUUCCUUUACUUUCCAUUUCCUCAUUCCCUGAUGUGCACCUCCAUCCCUUCAGCCCCAAACACAAAAUCUGUUUUCAUAAGUAAAUAGGUGGGUGAAAAUCAGGUCCACUUUGGAACACACGAAUCCAAACCCUUGCCCUAAACCCUCUCUGGAAUCGUGGAGGUCUUCUCUCCUCAUCUGAUGACACCUGGUAGAGUUUUCCAGAAAUACCAUCAGUUUGAGGGAGCUCAGGGGUGUUUGAAGUGAAGCCUGGUGGUGAGCUACUACACUGACUCCAAGAUAUAAGUGUUUUUUUUUAAAUGUUGUGACUCGUGGCAUUUGCCCAUUUCUUUGGUGUAAACACUCCCGUCGUGGCCAACAUCAAGGAGCCGCAUGAAUGCACCGUGUGCCCAAGUGGGAGUCAUGGAUACAGCACCUUUCACAAGUGAGUGGGAUCCAGCUGCAGGCACACCUCACUGGUGAGCACGACGUGCACGUGUGCUUCCUUCUAUUUUAAAGGUCCUGGUAUUUCCCACUUCAAUGUGAUGCCACAGUUUCAGAGAAAUUGUGAUGCCCAAAUCCUCCUGCAUGCACAGGAGAGGCAAGAGAACACAAGGGCAAAAUCCAGUGUUGGAGAAAAUAC